GUGCCAGCCGCCGCGGUAAUACGGAGGGUGCAAGCGUUAAUCGGAAUUACUGGGCGUAAAGCGUGCGUAGGCGGUUAAUUAAGUCAGAUGUGAAAGCCCCGGGCUUAACCUGGGAACUGCAUUUGAUACUGGUUAACUAGAGUUGAGUAGAGGAGAGUGGAAUUUCAGGUGUAGCGGUGAAAUGCGUAGAUAUCUGAAGGAACACCAGUGGCGAAGGCGACUCUCUGGACUCAAACUGACGCUGAGGUACGAAAGCGUGGGUAGCAAACAGGAUUAGAAACCCGAGUAGUCC
rnacentral:rRNA from 1 species